AUUGGUAGAUGUCCAGAUAUUUAGCUUUUUUUUUGGAAUAGUCGCUACACACCCUUAAAAAGUAGACGGAAGAAGAAGAAGAAUUUUACUUUAGUUUGACGACUUAUAUCUCAUUGUGUAUAAGAGGAGCAUGCCAGUCUUUAAAGUUUGGGAUCUGAAAACAAAUCAAAAUGGUCUCUGGAUCAACAGUUUGUAAAAUAUUAGAAAAAGGGUCAGUAGAUGGCACAGAGGUUGAGGAGGGUGCAAUUCCCCAAAACAUACAAGGAGAAGGUGGUCUUGUCGUCAAGGAAGGGGAAAAAUGGUGCCUCCCAUCACAAACACAAGAGGAAGACAAUCCUCCUGGCUGCUCGAAUGAAGCAAAUGAUAUUACUCAUGACUUACAAAUGAUAUUACUC